rnacentral:lncRNA from 1 species
AGUAUAUUCCCACAAAGUGGGGUCUGGAGAGGCUAUAAUGUACGCAUUCCAUACCGCUACCUCCGAAGAGGUAGAGAUGUUAUUUUUGAUAGACCCCCGGCUUAAGAUAAAGAAUAGUAAACAAGAGUGUAAUGAAACAUGAAGCGGGAUGUAUGACAUAACAUAAAUAAGGAAUAAGACAUAAUACAAUAGAAAUCAGAGCAAGUACGAAUCAAGAUAAAUAAGCACAAUAUGAAAUACAAGAUAAGAAAAGGACAUCUGGAAUAGGACAACUACCUAGUAGUAACAUACACUCACAGACCAAAGGCACCCAC